rnacentral:misc_RNA from 1 species
AAUACCACUCAAGCUCUCCUGCUUGGUCAUGGAAGAAGAGUAUGCUUGCAUCCUCUCUUCUGAAAUCGAAUGGCGGACCGCCUCAUGUGCCUCGCGUAGUAAGUUCAUCUUUUCGCUGGCAGCGUGAGACAGUCUCGCCAUCAACCCCCAUACUUCUAA